rnacentral:rRNA from 1 species
GACGAAGGAUGCAAGCGUUAUCCGGAUUCAUUGGGUUUAAAGGGAGCGUAGGUGGCCUUAUAAGUCAGUGGUGAAAUCUCUGGGCUUAACCCAGAAAUUGCCAUUGAUACUGUAGGGCUUGAGUACAGUUGCUGUGGGCGGAAUAUGACAUGUAGUGGUGAAAUACAUAGAGAUGUCAUAGAACACCGAUCGCGAAGGCAGCUCACAAAACUGUAACUGACACUGAGGCUCGAAGGCCAGGGUAGCGAAAGGG